GAUGAACGCUGGCGGCGUGCCUAAUACAUGCAAGUCGAGCGAACAGACGAGGAGCUUGCUCCUCUGACGUUAGCGGCGGACGGGUGAGUAACACGUGGAUAACCUACCUAUAAGACUGGGAUAACUUCGGGAAACCGGAGCUAAUACCGGAUAAUAUAUUGAACCGCAUGGUUCAAUAGUGAAAGACGGUUUUGCUGUCACUUAUAGAUGGAUCCGCGCCGCAUUAGCUAGUUGGUAAGGUAACGGCUUACCAAGGCAACGAUGCGUAGCCGACCUGAGAGGGUGAUCGGCCACCCGGGAACUGAGACACGGUCCAGACUCCUACGGGAGGCAGCAGUAGGGAAUCUUCCGCAAUGGGCGAAAGCUUGACGGAGCAACGCCGCGUGAGUGAUGAAGGUCUUCGGAUCGUAAAACUCUGUUAUUAGGGAAGAACAAAUGUGUAAGUAACUAUGCACGUCUUGACGGUACCUAAUCAGAAAGCCACGGCUAACUACGUG
rnacentral:rRNA from 1 species